rnacentral:rRNA from 1 species
CCCUUAGAUGUUCUGGGCUGCACGCGCGCUACACUGAAGCGUUCAACGAGUAUUCACCUUGCCCGAGAGGAAUGGGUAACCUUUUGAAAGUGCAUCGUGCUAGGGAUAGACUAUUGCAAUUAUUGGUCUUCAACGAGGAAUUCCUAGUAGACGUAGUUCAUCAGACUGCAUCGAUUACGUCCCUGCCCUUUGUACACACCGCCCGUCGCUCCUACCGAUUGGAUGAUCCGGUGAGCUAUUCGGACCUUCGCUUCGUCGAUUUUCGGCUUUGUGAGGGAAAGUCUCGCGAACCUUAUCAUCUAGAGGAAGGAGAAGUCGUAACA